GACAAUAGUCAUGCCACCCUAAACAAGCCCGAUGUCUGAUCUCAGAAGUUAAGCUGGGUCGGGCCUGGUAAGCACUUGGAUGGGAGACCACCUAGGAAGACUGGGUGCUGUAGGCA
rnacentral:rRNA from 1 species